UACGAAGGGGGCUAGCGUUGCUCGGAAUCACUGGGCGUAAAGCGCACGUAGGCGGCUUUCUAAGUCAGGGGUGAAAUCCUGGAGCUCAACUCCAGAACUGCCUUUGAUACUGGAGAGCUCGAGUCCGGAAGAGGUGAGUGGGAACUGCGAGUGUAGAGGUGAAAUUCGUAGAUAUUCGCAAGAACACCAGUGGCGAAGGC
rnacentral:rRNA from 1 species